GCCAUAAUCACAUUGCCUUCAGAUAUAUCCUCACCUCCUACUGCUGGUUCUGUUUUCCAAACUUUUAUUUUGACAGAUGAUUUUCUUCCCUGAGGAAAGGAUCAGCACACCCACUGCAAAUCUUCCAGCACUAUCUCUGCCUCUAACUCCCAGAUACCCACAGAGAUCUGAUUCUUAAGUAUCAUAAGACAGAUGGGGCUGCAGUUUGCUCUGGUACGGGUCGAUCCCUGCAGCUCCAAGACAUGUGGCCCCAGUCUACUGCUCACAGCAUCACAGAAACAUGCAGCCUUUCCGCAAAACCAACUAAGAAUUUCAAUAAGACCACAGAUAUUAAGUCUAAUUGCAGUAUUCCUCUCUCACAGACUUUAAUCUCACCAUUUUAAGCAAUACAAUAUAUCCCAUCUAUGUAUUCUUUUAAUGUACAUUUGAUGGUGAAAAUGUGAUUUAAUGUAAUAAUCUAAAAUAUGUUAAAUAUUUACUAUGUACUGGGCAGAAACAGAAGGUCAAAUCUCUUACGAUGAAUUUCAGUGGCUCCUUUAUCACUGUCAUCUGCGGUUAGUUUGUGUUUUGAGUAAGAGCAUUUGCUAACUGAAUAUGUUUUUGUUUCAGUAAGGAUUGUUAAGGGAUUGUAAGGAUUAUUAGUGAUUGUAAGGAUUAUU